CACGUGGGCAACCUACCCUCAGCUCUGGGAUAACCCCGGGAAACCGGAGCUAAUACCGGAUAUGACCAGGAACGACAUCGUUCCUGGUGGAAAGUUUUUCGGCUGAGGAUGGGCCCGCGGCCUAUCAGCUUGUUGGUGGGGUAAUGGCCUACCAAGGCGACGACGGGUAGCCGGCCUGAGAGGGCGAACGGCCACACUGGGACUGAGACACGGCCCAGACUCCUACGGGAGGCAGCAGUGGGGAAUAUUGCGCAAUGGGCGAAAGCCUGACGCAGCGACGCCGCGUGAGGGAUGAAGGCC
rnacentral:rRNA from 1 species